rnacentral:rRNA from 1 species
AGAGUUUGAUCCUGGCUCAGGAUGAACGCUAGCGACAGGCUUAACACAUGCAAGUCGAGGGGCAGCGGGGUAGUGCUUGCACUACUGCCGGCGACCGGCGCACGGGUGAGUAACACGUAUGGAACCUGCCCGCAGCAGGGGGAUAAGCGGAAGAAAUUCCGUCUAAUACCGCGUAAGAACGUUGGGAGGCAUCUCCCGAUGUUUAAAGAUUUAUCGGCUGCGGAUGGCCAUGCGGCGCAUUAGCUAGUCGGCGGGGUAACGGCCCACCGAGGCGACGAUGCGUAGGGGUUCUGAGAGGAAGGUCCCCCACACUGGUACUGAGACACGGACCAGACUCCUACGGGAGGCAGCAGUGAGGAAUAUUGGUCAAUGGCCGAGAGGCUGAACCAGCCAAGUCGCGUGAGGGAAGACGGCCCUACGGGUUGUAAACCUCUUUUGUCGGGGAGCAAAGCGAACCACGUGUGGUUCAUUGAGAGUACCCGAAGAAAAAGCAUCGGCUAACUCCGUGCCAGCAGCCGAGGUAAUACGGAGGAUGCGAGCGUUAUCCGGAUUUAUUGGGUUUAAAGGGUGCGCAGGCGGAGGUGCAAGUCAGCGGUCAAAUUGCGGGGCUCAACCCCGUACUGCCGUUGAAACUGCAUCCCUUGAGUGCGCGAGAAGUAUGCGGAAUGCGUGGUGUAGCGGUGAAAUGCAUAGAUAUCACGCAGAACUCCGAUUGCGAAGGCAGCAUACCGGCGCGCAACUGACGCUCAUGCACGAAAGCGUGGGUAUCGAACAGGAUUAGAUACCCUGGUAGUCCACGCAGUAAACGAUGAACACUAACUGUUCGGCCAGAAUGAUGGCUGAGUGGUACAGCGAAAGCGUUAAGUGUUCCACCUGGGGAGUACGCCGGCAACGGUGAAACUCAAAGGAAUUGACGGGGGCCCGCACAAGCGGAGGAACACGUGGUUUAAUUCGAUGAUACGCGAGGAACCUUACCCGGGCUCAAACGACACAGGAAUACUUUUGAAAGGAGGUAGCCCUACGGGGUCUGUGUCGAGGUGCUGCAUGGUUGUCGUCAGCUCGUGCCGUGAGGUGUCGGCUUAAGUGCCAUAACGAGCGCAACCCCUAUCGCCAGUUACCAUCAAGUAAAGUUGGGGACUCUGGCGAGACUGCCGGCGCAAGCUGAGAGGAAGGCGGGGAUGACGUCAAAUCAGCACGGCCCUUACGUCCGGGGCGACACACGUGUUACAAUGGCAGGUACAGAGAGAAGCCAGGUGGUGACACCGAGCGGAACUCGAAAGCCUGUCUCAGUUCGGAUCGGAGUCUGCAACCCGACUCCGUGAAGCUGGAUUCGCUAGUAAUCGCGCAUCAGCCAUGGCGCGGUGAAUACGUUCCCGGGCCUUGCACACACCGCCCGUCA